rnacentral:rRNA from 1 species
ACUCAAAUGAAUUGACGGGGGCCCGCACAAGCGGUGGAGCAUGUGGUUUAAUUCGACGCAACGCGAAGAACCUUACCUACCCUUGACAUCCUAGGAAUCUUGCAGAGAUGCGGGAGUGCCGAAAGGAACCUAGAGACAGGUGCUGCAUGGCUGUCGUCAGCUCGUGUUGUGAGAUGUUGGGUUAAGUCCCGUAACGAGCGCAACCCUUAUCCUUAGUUGCCAACAUGUAAUGGUGGGGACUCUAAGGAGACUGCCGGUGAAGAACCGGAGGAAGGUGGGGACGACGUCAAGUCAUCAUGGCCUUUAUGGGUAGGGCUACACACGUGCUACAAUGGGGCGUACAGAGGGAAGCGAACUCGCGAGAGGGAGCGAAUCCUAGAAAGCGCCUCGUAGUCCGGAUUGAAGUCUGCAACUCGACUUCAUGAAGUUGGAAUCGCUAGUAAUCGCGAAUCAGAACGUCGCGGUGAAUACGUUCCCGGGCCUUGUACACACCGCCCGU